rnacentral:sRNA from 1 species
GCUGGGUAUGGUGGCACACACCUGUAAUCCCAGCAGUUUAGGAGGCUGGGGCAGGGGGAUCAUAAGUUCAAAGCCAGCCUCAGCAACUUAGCGAGGCCCUAAGCAACUUAGCAAGACCCUGUCUCUA